rnacentral:rRNA from 1 species
UGCGCGUAGGUGUAUCGGUGACCACGAGUCACCGAGGUGCCGAAGGGAAACCGUGAAACGUGCCGCCUGGGAAGUACGGUCGCAAGGCUGAAACUUAAAGGAAUUGGGCGGGGGAGCACCACAACAGGUGGAGCCUGCGGUUUAAUCGGACUCAACGCCGGGAAACUCACCGGAUAAGACAGCUGAAUGAUAGCCGGGCUGAAGACUCUGCUUGACUAGCUGAGAGGAGGUGCAUGGCAA